CAAAAGUUUGGAUUCUCCUCAAGUGAAUUUGCCUAACACUAACACCCAGACCAAACAAAUUUCUCUACCCUUCUAUCAUGGUGAGUUCAAGCUUGGCGCUCUCGUCUCUGCUUCAGUGGACGAAUUUUGAAUUAUCGCGCUCCAUUUCAAACGAAUCACGCUUCAGAUUUCAUUUUCGAAGAACUCGGGCUGUUGGAGUCUCCUGUCAUUAUUCUUGCCUUGAAGUUAAGGACGUUUGCUAUCGACCCCCAGGGACCCAGCUCAACAUCUUAAACAGAGUUAGUUUCUCCCUUCGAGAGAAAAGUUUUGGCUUAAUUUUUGGUAAAAGUGGAAGUGGAAAAACUACUCUAUUGCAGCUUCUUGCUGGACUAAGCAAGCCAACAUCGGGUUCCAUUUAUAUUCAAAAAUAUGGAAAUGAUGGCAGACCAAAUGAGUCUUCUGAACCUUUGCUUGCUGAAAGAGUAGGCAUUGUGUUUCAGUUUCCAGAGAGGUAUUUUGUGGCAGAUAAUGUGCUUGAUGAAGUUAUAUUUGGGUGGCCAAGACAAAGUGGUGGUCUUCAAAUGAAGGAGUACCUUGCUCUGAAUCUCCAAAGAGCUAUUAAUUGGGUUGGAUUGGGUGGGAUCUCUUUGGAUAAGGAUCCUCAUUCUCUCAGUGGUGGCUAUAAGCGUCGGCUUGCAUUGGCAAUUCAGUUAGUACAAAUCCCAGAUUUAUUAAUAUUGGAUGAGCCUCUUGCUGGUCUGGACUGGAAGGCACGUGCAGAUAUUGUGAAGCUUCUGAAGCAUUUGAAGAAAGAAGUAACUAUACUUGUUGUUAGUCAUGACCUCACAGAGUUGGCAACUCUUGUUGAUCGAUCUUGGAGGAUGGACAUGGGUGGAACUUUGAGGGAAGAGCCCCUACCAUUGUAAUUUGGAACCCAGCUCAUUUUUACCUCAUUAAGACAUGAUGCAGUGAGAAGUGAAGCAUUCAAGUUCAGCAUGACCUAGUUAUAUGAACCUGACUUUUGAUGGCAAGACAGGAUAAAAUAACGGUUCUGAGAAAAUCAAGUGUCAGAAGGCAAACCUUAUGGAGUUUCUUGUUGGUUGAAACAGCAGCAGUAUCACCAUUAGAAGGGGCAUGACUAAGACAUCUUUCAGCAGUUGAAGCUUGUCUUCUGAAGUGCCUUUCCUUGCUGUGUGGAAUUCUUCGAUAGAGCCUACUUAAAUUGAGUUUCCAACCGUCUUUUAUCAACAUGUCCCACAAGCAUCUAUAGAAGUAGCAUUAAGCUAAGGAAGAAGCUGUUGUAGGCCUAAAGACAAAAGCCACGCAAGCAUAUUCAGUUUGAAACACCUUUCAACAAGUGGGGUUUUGUUGUCGAAGCUCCACAGGACCCAUUGAUGAACAUGAGCACCAGGUGAUAGCCACGGCUGCAGUUGCUUUCCUGCUGCCCAGUAACUUGCCAUGGAAUCCGGGUCAGCAAAAAUUUCUAUUGUUUUUAUUUGAGCAAGUUCAUUCCUUCAUCCAUUGCAAUAAUGAUUAAUGUGAGACAAGCUUUUUCCAUAACAAUAUAGAGUAACUGUAGAUUGUGAAGUAGGUGUUAUAGGCAUCCUUGUUUGAGCUAGCCAACGAGCAACUAUAAAACACGGGAAAUUAUUGCCUCUUUAAGGAGUAAAGACAAGAGAAUCACUUACACCCUUCUAAAAUUUACACUAAGACAAACAGAAAAACCUGCAAAUAAGUGAGUCAUUGAGUUGGGUGUGUGGUGAGUCCAUUGGUUGAUUAGAUGGUGAACAUGUGAAUUUCACGUGGAGACGUAGAAAUCUAAGUGGCUUCCCAUUUGUUUCUGGAGAGUGAAGAAAACAAUUUACUUUCUUAUUGUUUCCAGAUGGGUUUAGGAUAAAGUAUAUACAAGUUGAUCAUAAGGUGGCCCCAUUUUGGGUACUGGUAAGAUUUACCGUGAUUUAAUCAAGAAAAUAUUUAUGAAGGGCUAUGCCGACCAUCUGUAAUUUGUGAAGAUGCAAUUUUGAUACCAUGUUUCUUUGUUCUCGGUAAUUGGGGAUGCCUUUGAGGCCCAAGACUAGCCCAUAACCUAAACGGGGACGUUUGCCCAUAUGAAAAUAUUAUAACAAGUACAAUUGAACAUAUUAUUUAUUAGA